GGAGGGUGCAAGCGUUAAUCGGAAUUAUUGGGCGUAAAGCGCGCGUAGGCGGUUGAUUAAGUUGGAUGUGAAAUCCCUAGGCUUAACCUGGGAACUGCAUUCAAAACUGGUCGACUAGAGUACAGCAGAGGUGAGUAGAAUUUCCGGUGUAGCGGUGAAAUGCGUAGAUAUCGGAAGGAAUACCAGUGGCGAAGGCGGCUCACUGGGUUGAUACUGACGCUGAGGCGCGAAAGCGUGGGGAGCAAACAGGGAUUAGAGACCCUGGUAGUCCACGCCGUAAACGAUGAGAACUAGCUGUUGGGACGCGUUGACGUCUUAGUAGCGUAGCUAACGCGAUAAGUUCUCCGCCUGGGAAGUACGGUCGCAAGAUUA
rnacentral:rRNA from 1 species